GACGAACGCUGGCGGCGUGCUUAACACAUGCAAGUCGAACGGACAGGCCCUGCUUUUGUGGGGUGCUCGAGUGGCGAACGGGUGAGUAACACGUGAGUAACCUGCCCUUGACUUUGGGAUAACUUCAGGAAACUGGGGCUAAUACCGGAUAGGAGCUCCUGCUGCAUGGUGGGGGUUGGAAAGUUUCGGCGGUUGGGGAUGGACUCGCGGCUUAUCAGCUUGUUGGUGGGGUAGUGGCUUACCAAGGCUUUGACGGGUAGCCGGCCUGAGAGGGUGACCGGCCACAUUGGGACUGAGAUACGGCGCAGUCUCCAACGGGAGGCAGCGGUGGAGAAUAUUGCACAAUGGGCGGAAGCCUGAUGCAGCAACGCCGCGUGCGGGAUAACGGCCUUCGGGUUGUAAACCGCUUUCGCCUGUGACGAAGCGUGAGUGACGGUAAUGGGUAAAGAAGCACCGGCUAACUACGUG
rnacentral:rRNA from 1 species